rnacentral:pre_miRNA from 1 species
AUGUGACCCGUGGACUUCCCUUUGUCAUCCUAUGCCUGAGAAUAUAUGAAGGGGGCUGGGGAGGCAAAGGGACGUUCAACUGUCAUCACC